AUCAUACUCAAAAAAAAGAGUUUGAUCCUGGCUCAGAAUGAACGCUGGCGAUAUGCUUAACACAUGCAAGUCGAACGUUGUUUUCGAGUCGAAAUGAAAACAAAGUGGCGAACGGGUGCGUAACACGUAGGAAUCUGCCAAACAGUUUGGGCCAAAUCCUGAAUAAAUGAAAGCUAAAAAGCGCUGUUUGAUGAGCCCACGUAGUAUUAGGUAGUUGGUUAGGUAAAGGCUGACCAAGCCUACGAUGCUUAGCUGGUCUUUUCGGAUGAUCAGCCACACUGGGACUGAGACACGGCCCAGACUCCUACGGGAGGCAGCAGUGGGGAAUCUUGGACAAUGGGCGAAAGCCUGAUCCGGCAAUAUGGCGUGAGUGAAGAAGGGCAACGCAGCUUGUAAAGCUCUUUCAUCGAGUGUGCGAUUGUGACAAGACUCGAAUAAGAAGCCCCGGCUAACUCCGUGCCAGCAGCCGCGGUAAGACGGGGGGGGCUAGUGUUAUUCGGAAUGACUAGGCGUAAAGGGCACGUAGGCGGUGAAUCCGGUUGAAAGUGAAAGUCGCCAGCUCAACUGGCGGAAUGCUUUCAAAACCAAUUCACUUGAGUAAGAUAGAGGAUAGUGGAAUUUCGUGUGUAGAGAUAAAAUUCACAGAUAUACGAAGGAACACCAAAAGCGAAGGCAGCUUUCUGGGUCUCUACUGACGCUGAGGUGCGAAAGCAUGGGGAGCAAACAGGAUUAGAUAGAUCCGGCCGGGCUCCAAAUAAAACACGGUCAAAGGUGUCCCCUCCGAUCGCGAGGUCAGAGUGUGCAUCCAGCUAUUUCGGGGAAACUUUGAUGCAAAUGUACCAUUCAACAUCAGACAAUCCCGAGGGAAGUGCGUUGAUCUCGGAUCGAGAGCACCCCGUAGAGACUAUGGAGAUGGGGAAAUAGAAGAUAUAAAAAAAAUAGGCAAAGGCUCUUAAAGCUAGAGCAUCGGAGCUGAGAAAGCAAGGCUUUUUUCCUUAGGCAAAGCCCAAGCUCCUAACCUGCACUUGAAAAGACUUAAGCAAAUAUCUUUGUCGGAUUUAAUGAAAUCAAUUAUAUUAGGACAACUCCUGGGAGAUGGCAAGGUUCUCCGUUCGUCAUAGCCGAAUGAAGGCCGAAGGCCUUUUGGUGGUAGGCUCACUGCAUGAAAUCUCGGCACCAAGUUCCGUGCAGGAGCAAGCGGCCGAUGGCUUUAGCCAGAACAAGCAGCUACUGAUGACUUUGACAAAGAAUAUGUCAAGCUUUUAUUUAGCCCGAGACUUAGACAUUUUCUGGAAGGUUUACGGCCCCCCUAUCCGGAAAAAUUGCAAGUACGCUAAUUAAAGCCAAGGGCGCAGCACUACCACCGCCUUUGGUCCGGUAUUGAGGGCGCAGCAGAGACUGCUUCGAAUGAUCUUCCCACAUGUCUUGUGGCGAGCAUACUCGGGAAAGCCUUAUUAUUGGUUUACAAAGAUCCUGAAAUUCAACAACGCUGGAUCUCUGAAAUGAAGAAAGCUCUGCCUCUUUUUUCGAAGUGCAUUGAGGGUUAGCCAAUAAAAAAAGAGAGCAACUGCAAAGAUUGAAGUUCAGAGAAUGAUAUAGUCCAUUUUUGGAGAUAGUCAUCACUACGUGAUCGUGAUGGGAUUAUUUAUUUUCCAUCAUGACCUCGAGAAGCAACUAAGCCACUGAACAAGGGCUCACUGCUGGCGAAAAACUAUCUUCAAUAUGACCCUGGUAGUCUAUGCCGUAAACGAUGAGUGUUCGUCCUUGGUCUGCGCUGUAUGCAAAACGGCUGAUCAGGGGCCCAGCUAACGCGUUAAACACUCCGCCUGGGGAGUACGGCCGCAAGGCUGAAACUCAAAGGAAUUGACGGGGGCCUGCACAAGCGGUGGAGCAUGUGGUUUAAUUCGAUACAACGCGCAAAACCUUACCAGCCCUUGACAUAUGAAUAAGUUUGCCCGUCCUUAAUGGGAUGGUACGAAAAUUUAUACAGGUGCUGCAUGGCUGUCGUCAGCUCGUGUCGUGAGAUGUUGGGUUAAGUCCUAUAACGAGCGCAACCCUCGUUUUGUGUUGCUAAGACAUGCGUUUUGAAUUAAAGGGUCGAUCAUUGAGCACUUAAGACUGACGAAGACCACGCCAUUGGAAAAGGAUAUCACAACAACGCCGUGUGGCUACGACCACACAGUUGUCAAAGGAUACUUCGACGAGCACAGCUCUCAGAGCGUGGCACACAUAACAAACAAUGUGGCACUCAGUCUUCGCUCUGUAAAAAUAAUUGACAAUCCAUGCCAUGUACUGCACUCACAAGAAACUGCCAGUGAUAUACUGGAGGAAGGUGGGGAUGACGUCAAGUCCGCAUGGCCCUUAUGGGCUGGGCUACACACGUGCUACAAUGGCAAUCACAAUAGGAAGCAAGGCUUUAAGGCGGAGCGAAUCCAGAAAGAUGGCCUUAGUUCGGAUUGUCCUCUGCAACUCGAGAACAUGAAGUUGGAAUCGCUAGUAAUCGCGGAUCAGCAUGCCGCGGUGAAUAUGUACUCAGGCCCUGUACACACCGCCCGUCACACCAUGGGAAUUGGCUUCGCCCGAAGCAUCAGACCAAGGAUCACCCAUUACUCCAGUGUUCCACGCCGUUGUUGAGUGUGGUCUACCAGAGUAAUUGGUGGUCUAAUGUGGGAUACCAAGGUGGGGCCUUUGACUGAGGUGAAGUCGUAACAAGGUAGCCGUAGGGGAACCUGUGGCUGGAUUGACUCC
rnacentral:rRNA from 1 species